rnacentral:rRNA from 1 species
UACGAAGGGGGCUAGCGUUGCUCGGAAUCACUGGGCGUAAAGGGUGCGUAGGCGGGUCUUUUAAGUCAGGGGUGAAAUCCUGGAGCUCAACUCCAGAACUGCCUUUGAUACUGAAGAUCUUGAGUUCGGGAGAGGUGAGUGGAACUGCGAGUGUAGGAGGUGAAAUUCGUAGAUAUUCGCAAGAACACCAGUGGCGAAGGCGGCUCACUGGCCCGGUACUGACGCUGA